UGAUAUUCAAAAUUUGCUUAAAUCCUGUUAAGGCUCUUGUGAGACUCUCCUUCACCCUACUUACCUAUUGUACUCCGAAAGUCCUGUAGUUAUAACCAAAGUCUCUUGGAGAGAGAUUGGAUAAUUGUGUAAAGAUCUAUACGAGGUUGACACCCGACACCUAAGCUGUUCGCUACACCUAGACAGGCUAGUCUAGGGGGACAAAUAUCUUAUUUGCUUAAAUCCUGUUAAGGCUCUUGUGAGACUCUCCUUCACCCUACUUACCUAUUGUACUCCGAAAGUCCUGUAGUUAUAACCAAAGUCUCUUGGAGAGAGAUUGGAUAAUUGUGUAAAGAUCUAUACGAGGUUGACACCCGACACCUAAGCUGUUCGCUACACCUAGACAGGCUAGUCUAGGGUGACAAAUAUCUCAUUAUGAACCGACACCAGAAGAAUGUAAAGACGGGCGCUUUAGUCACAUUUAGCAUGGUUAUAACAACUCACAUGGAGAAUAACACUAUUAUAUUUGAAUUUACAUGAAAUAUACAAUCUACUAGUUUCAUAUAGUACAAAACUUUGUGUUGUCUAUUUUAUAAACAAAUUUCACCACUCGAGUCAUAGGGUUUAAGAACACAACUUUUUGUGUAACAGAAAAUAUAGGAUUUUCUCGAAACACUCUCU
rnacentral:lncRNA from 1 species